rnacentral:tmRNA from 1 species
GGGGGCGUUUUGGAUUCGACGCCGGUUACAAAGCUCCGGGUGCAUGCCGAGAUGGCAACCAAUCUCGUAAAUCAAAGUUGCAAACUCUUAGUUGCCAACGACGACAACUACGCUCUAGCUGCUUAAUCGCAGCUAGCGGUCGGUAACAAGGUGCCCGUACCGCGUUAUUGACUGUCAUUCAGAAUGGGAUCGUGGAGCGGCUCGCCUGGCGCCAAUCCCCUAAAACUCACAGGAUCGCUGUUCACGUCCUGCCCGCUGGGCUGUGAAUGGUUAAAUCAAUUAACGGACCUAAGCAUGUAGAUCUCGCAGUAGCGGACUGACGGACAGGGGUUCAACUCCCCUCGCCUCCACCA